UCUGUGUGUAGCUUAGAGGUAGAACGACUGCUUUGCUUGCAGAAGGUCACUGGUUCAAUCCCCAGCAUCUCCAGAU